UACGGAGGGGGCUAGCGUUGUUCGGAAUUACUGGGCGUAAAGCGCACGUAGGCGGCUUUGCAAGUUAGAGGUGAAAGCCCGGGGCUCAACUCCGGAAUUGCCUUUAAAACUGCAUCGCUAGAAUUGUGGAGAGGUAAGUGGAAUUCCGAGUGUAGAGGUGAAAUUCGUAGAUAUUCGGAAGAAACACCAGUGGCGAAGGCGACUUACUGGACACAUAUUGACGCUGAGGUGCGAAAGCGUGGGGAGCAAACAGG
rnacentral:rRNA from 1 species